AUUGAUUCUUCGGUCGAUUUCAAUUGCUUUAUUUAAAGAAAAUAUGACCAACUAACAUAUUAAAAAUUCGAAAAAGCGACUAUGACAUUACUAUGUAAUAAAAAUCAACCGAGAAACGUGGGAAAUAGAGCCCAAACAACAUUUCGAAGUCAGAUGGCAGUAAAAGGUUCCAAAACCUGUCACGAAUCCUAUAAUACUUUUAUUAGGAUUUGUAACGAUCAUCAAAACCUUCUCAAAUCCAACCGACUUGGAACUAUUGCUUGGGAAUAGACUCUACUGAGCCCCGGCGGUUCCUCCUGUUUAUCGAGCAUGUCUGAUGCAUAUGAUCAGCCAUACUCCAUCUGCAGCAGCCGGUUCGUGAUGAGCCGUUGGAGGCGCAUUAAAGUGUUAAAAAGGUGAUAUGUUUCACUAAAGAACACUACAUUACAAUAAUCAAAAUGAAACUCCUUCACUUUAAUACCGUCAACCCCUGCGAACUUGGCCAGGGAAUCUCUAGUAGAAUUCAUGAAGGAAUAUAUGGAGCAAUCCCUGAAGAAAUCUCGGAAGGAACACUUGCAAACAUAAAUGAAAGAAUUUCUGUUGACAUUCCUUUGAGAAUCCCUGGAGGAAUCAUCGGAAAAAGCACUGGAACAACAACUGGAGGAACCUCUAUGGAUAUGCCAGGAGAAAUACCCGGAGGAAUGUCUGGUGAAACCCAUAAAGGGAUUCUUGAAACAUUCUGUGGAGCAAUCCAUGAUGGAUUCACUAAAGGAAGCUUUGGAAUAAUUCCAGGAGGAAUUCGUCGAUGCAUCCUUGCAGAAGUAUCUGUCAAAAUUUCUGAAGGAAUCAUGGGAGGAAUUCUUGAAGCAUUUCUUGGAACAAAGCCCGAAACAUUCACUAUCGGAACCUUGCAUACCUCGCAUAAUCAAUCACGAGACCUGAAUGGCAUCGUUGAUUUGAUGAAGUUGUAAAAAUAUCACGCAUUCCGGUAUAGUAUUCAAAGGGUUGAUUUGUUAGUUUACCCAAAAAAAAAUCUGCCACUACCAAGUUUUCAGAACGCUACCCAUACACUUUUCUUAAUCGAAGGGCAGGAAAAUCUGAAUUUGAGUUAGGGCUUUUAGGACUCAAAUUAGAACACCACGGACAGCAAUAACAGCUUCCAAUAUGACAGUUCGGAUCAUAACACUACAGAACCAUCUUUUCUGUUUUGUAACCCCUAGAGGAUCUCAUACGGGAGAUCCCAUCAAGUUUAAUUUCCGCAAUUACACAGAAGUAAAAAUUUUGCAGUAAAUUUAAAACACUAAACAAACAAUAAAGUCAAUUUUUCCCGAUGAUGUUUUUGACGGAACAGAUUUUCCUUGCACUAAUUCAUUAGUUCUCACUAGCGUAAUGGGUAAUGUUUGUGUGUUUGUAAAUCAAUGUGAUUUCCUUGGUGAUUUAGGUCCUUACAAUUAGUACUUUUCGCAUUUUUACGUAGGUAUUAUUCCUACACAUUCGUGCCAAAUUGAUGGUGGUGCUCAACACACGCACAGUGUUCCAUUGCUAUCACUCGGCUUUUAGUAGGA